CACGCGGACACGCCGGGCACCCUGGCGCCUCCCAACUGUUCCCGAUAAAACGAGUCUCCUGAGGCGUGAGGAGGGGAAGGGCUGCAGAAACAGCGAGGAGCCUGGCAUGAACGCUGCGUUUGCUCCCAGGGGAUAUUUCAUCACUACACCAGCCUGGCAGGCACUGGAGAGAAGGACCAAAGUGUGGCUGUGUCUGCUCUUGAGGGGCUUCCAUUUUUUUUUAAGAAUUGAAAAAAUGUUAUUAAUUAA